AACGAACGCUGGCGGCAUGCCUAACACAUGCAAGUCGAACGAGCCCUUCGGGUCUAGUGGCGGACGGGUGCGUAACGCGUGGGAACCUGCCCUUAGGUUCGGAAUAACUCCGCGAAACUUGUGCUAAUACCGGAUGUUCUCUUCGGGCCAAAGAUUUAUCGCCUUUAGAUCGGCCCGCGUUGGAUUAGCUAGUUGGUAGGGUAAAUGCCUACCAAGGCGACGAUCCAUAGCUGGUCUGAGAGGAUGAUCAGCCACACUGGGACUGAGACACGGCCCAGACUCCUACGGGAGGCAGCAGUGGGGAAUAUUGCACAAUGGGCGAAAGCCUGACCCAGCAAUGCCGCGUGAAUGAUGAAGGCCUUAGGGUUGUAAAGCUCUUUUACCCGGGACGAUAAUGACGGUACCGGGAGAAGAAGCCCCGGCUAACUCCGUG
rnacentral:rRNA from 1 species